GUACUAGGUGGGGAGCUAGUGGUGCCCUGUUACCCACAAUCCACUACAGUGGGACUGAAAGUGUAUAGCGGGAUAGACUUGGUUGUGUUGAGUAGCUUUAGAGUAUGUUGAAAUCAGGGUCUUAUACAAUAUUGCCCUACGAAUCAUGUCAGGGUCGGAAGACAGCAGCAUUAAGUUGGAUACAGUAUGUGCUGUAAGGUUACUUUGGUGGAGU
rnacentral:SRP_RNA from 1 species